GACGAACGCUGGCGGCGUGCCUAAUACAUGCAAGUCGAGCGCAGGAAAUCGACGGAACCCUUCGGGGGGAAGUCGACGGAAUGAGCGGCGGACGGGUGAGUAACACGUAAAGAACCUGCUCUCAGGUCUGGGAUAACCACGAGAAAUCGGGGCUAAUACCGGAUGGGUCAUCGGCCCGCCUGGUCCGGUGAUGAACGGCUGUUCGGCGUGGCCUGGGGAUGGCUUUGCGGUGCAUUAGCUAGUUGGUGGGGUAAUGGCCCACCAAGGCGACGAUGCAUAGCCGACCUGAGAGGGUGAUCGGCCACACUGGGACUGAGACACGGCCCAGACUCCUACGGGAGGCAGCAGUAGGGAAUCUUCCACAAUGGACGAAAGUCUGAUGGAGCAACGCCGCGUGAACGAUGAAGGCCUUCGGGUCGUAAAGUUCUGUUGUAAGGGAAGAACAAGUGCCGCAGGCAAUGACGGCACCUUGACGGUACCUUGCGAGAAAGCCACGGCUAACUACGUGCCAGCAGCCGCAGUAAAAC
rnacentral:rRNA from 1 species